CCUACGGGAGGCAGCAGUGAGGAAUAUUGGUCAAUGGACGAGAGUCUGAACCAGCCAAGUAGCGUGAAGGAUGACUGCCCUAUGGGUUGUAAACUUCUUUUAUAUGGGAAUAAAAUGUUCCACGUGUGGGAUUUUGUAUGUACCAUAUGAAUAAGGAUCGGCUAACUCCGUGCCAGCAGCCGCGGUAAUACGGAGGAUCCGAGCGUUAUUCGGAUUUAUUGGGUUUAAAGGGAGCGUAGGUGGAUUGUUAAGUUAGUUGUGAAAGUUUGCGGCUCAACCGUAAAAUUGCAGUUGAAACUGGCAGUCUUGAGUACAGUAGAGGUGGGCGGAAUUCGUGGUGUAGCGGUGAAAUGCUUAGAUAUCACGAAGAACUCCGAUUGCGAAGGCAGUUCACUGGACUGCAACUGACACUGAGGCUCGAAAGUGUGGGUAUCAAACAGGAUUAGAUACCCCUGUAGUC
rnacentral:rRNA from 1 species